AUAUCUAUGGCGUGAUGAACAAAAAACGUCCGACCAAACGACCAAUGAGAUUUCACGUUGAAUUGAAAAUUUCACUAUAUAAACUUUUGAAAAUAUGCACCCAAGACACAUUUACACGUUUGUUGUGCAUUAACUCACACUUCAAGUUUUUCUUUUGCGUUUUUAAUCAAACCAACUUCAAUCUUCGAAAUGGGUAAAGAAAGAGCAUGCAUGGAAUUCUCCACCGUCCAAGGCAAAGAAAGAAUCUCAUUCGAUAACAUCGUCGUCGUCGAGCAAGGCAAAGAACAGACCGCCAUGGAAAACAUCGUCGUCGUAGACCAAGGCAAAGAAAAAUCAUCGAUGGAUUUCGUUAUCGUUUAAAUAUCCCGAAUUGCCUUUAUUUUUAAGUUAAUUUUAGGGUUUCGUUUCUAACUCACAAUAGUCAUCAAAAAAGAAAUGCAUUUGUUGGGUUUUCAAUCAACGAUCGAUUGCGUGUAUUAGAUUUAAG